GGGGCGCCUCUAGGAACCAGAAUCCCGCAGAUGACUGCACAGACAAGAUCGUGCCCCCAAGAUCGGCGAGCCGGGCGCCCACCGCGCCCCAGCCCCCGCCCCGGGAGUUCCUGCGCCACCCGCAGCGGCCCUGAGCUUCAAUCUGCACUUUCAAAACUUCCCAGUUGCCUCCAGAGCCCUGCAGUUGAAGAUCUUGUGUAGCACAUGGUUUUGCUGUUUUCCUCACCCUGAACUCCCUCCUUGGAGGGCCAUCGUUCUCUGUCUCAGAUUCCACCCUCCUUAUCACACAACUAGAGCUUCGGAGGAACGUGAUGGGGCUCCCAACUAAGGAGGGAAAGACCAUCAUAGCUCAGGGAUGAGGCUCCGAGAUCCUCAGAUAACAUCAAUUGUCCUCUGUCUUCUCUUGACUUGGCACACCCUUGCUUGGAGCAGGGCAGGAGCAGCUGAAAGGGAGGUGGCACCUGGAGGUCUCAGUCAUUUCACUUCUCUGAGCCUCAGUUUUCCCAUAUGCAAAGUGAAGAGGUAAGACUCCCUCAGGGUUUUGCAUCUUCUUAAUGGCAGAAACCUAUUCAAACAAAAUAUUAUGUAAAUGUUCACCAUAGGCGGGGCGAGGUGGCUCAAACCUGUAAUUCCAGCACUUUUAGAGGCCCAGGAGGCUCUUGAGGUCAGGAGUUCGAGACCAGCCUGACCAACAUGGCGAAAACCUGUCUCUACUAAAUAAUACAAAAAUUAGCUGGGCAUGGUGACACACACCUGUAAUUCCAACUACUCGGUAGGAGGCUGAGGCAGGAGAAUCGCUUGAACCCAGGAGGGAGGCGGAGGUUGCAGUGAGCUGAGAUUGCACCACUGCACUCCAUCCUGGGUGACAGAGUGAGACUCUCUCUCAAAAAUAAGUUUAUAAAAGAAUGUAUAUUGUUCUGAUUGACACUGAAAUAGGGUCAACUACCCCCGGUCACCAGAGCAGCAGGAACACCUCAGGGGCCACACUUUGGAGGCACUGCCCAGAAAGAUUUCUGGGUCUUUAAAAGUCCCUUCCAGUUCUGGGAAAUCCUAUGUGAAAAUGAUGGUCCCUGCUUGCUAUAAUCCCUACAGGUGACUUAUUAUCUAAGCCAUUUAACACAGGAUUGAAUACUAUGCGACUAUGUGCCAAGCAAGAAGCAGUGUUGUAUGGGACACCCUAGCUGUGUAUAAGGUAUCUGGUAAUAACACAGGAGGCCACAGUGAUAGACUGUGAUAACGGAAGUAAUUCCAUAUCCAGUUUAAGCGUCUUUUCUAGGGAGUAUAAAUCGUUAUCUCCAUUCCAAUAUGGACUGAAAGGUAUCGACUUUUAUCCAUGUGCCAAAAAUUAGAUUGGCUGGUUCCUCUCUUCUACUCCAUACAAGGUCAGGUAUCAUAAUAAGGGCUCAGAGUGGUCCAAGCUGCCCAAAUAUCUGUGUCUUCCACUCUGACCUGUCUGGGAACUCCAAAUUUAUAUCCAACUGCUUACUUGACAACUGUAGUUGGUAGCCUAUCAGGCAUCUCAAAUUUGACCUAGCCAAAGCAGAAGUCCUCAUUUUCCCCAUAAAUCUCCUCCCCAGUUUUCCCUGUCUGAAUCAAUGGCAUAAGCAACUACAUCAUUGCUCAAAUCAGAACCUUAUGAGUCGUACUGAAACCAGCCAAAGAGUCCCAUAGACAGUUGUUUUUGUUUUUGUUUUUGAGACAGAGUUUGGCUCUUAUUGCCCUCACUGGAGUGCAGUGGCACGAUCUCGGCUCACUGCGACCUCCACCUCCUGGGUUCAAGUGAUUCUCCUGCCUCAGCCUCCUAAGUAGCUGGAAUUACAGGCACGCCACCAUGCCCAGGUAAGUUUUGUAUUUUUAGUAGAUACAGGGUUUCAUCAUGUUGGCCAGGCUGGUCUUGAACUCCCAACUUCAGGUGACCUGCCUGCCUCAGCCUCCCAAAGUGCUGGGAUUAUAGAAGUUGACCCUUUUGCAGUUAAAGCUGGAAACUUAUUUGUUUUAUCCGAGUUCCUUCCUCAGGAGAGGACCUUCAGGCCUCUCACAAAAAGUAUCAAAGAACUGAAGCCAUAAAAAGUAUCAAAAGAACUGAAACCAGAUCACUGCACUAGAUGCUGGGCCCCUCAGUCACCAUGAUUGCUUCCUUGCCCCUCCCAUGUUCCUGUUUUCUUACAUAUUGUUACAUUUCUUUCCUGCUAUAUAAACCCUUGGUUUUGGUCAGUCAAGGAGAUGGAUUUGAGACUGCACUCCCAUCUCCUUGGCUGCAGCACCUGAUUAAAGCCUUCUUCCUUGGCAAUACUUGUCAUCUCAGUGAUUGGCUUUCUGUGCACCGAGCAGCAGGACCUAGACCAAACCCCUGGUGUUUCGGUAACAAUACUUGAUUCCUCCCAUAUACAGUCCAUCAGCAAAAUAGCCUCAAAAGCGUAUCCACCAUCCGACUACUUUUUUCCACGUACACUACUGCAACAUUGUCUUAUAUCUGGACUGUUGCAAUAGCAGUGAACCAGAAGGGAGCUUAACUGGUCCUCUGAAUUCAUUCUUGCCUUAAAUAAAUCUUCCAUAUAGUAACCAAAGUGCAUUCCCUGCCAUCAUUUUGAUCAUGAGCUCAUCAAGCAAAUACUAGGCUGGUUGAGAAAGGUGAUAAUGGAUAUUUGAAAAACGAGUUCUAUUUGGGUUUUCUGUUCUUUUGAACGACUACAAGAUUGCUAAAUAUCACAUUUGGUAUCAGACAUGGGGUGACCAAAAACUGAAAGGCAAAAAAAAUCCAAAACCCCAAAUGUCUGCUGUAGAAUUUAUGGCAGUGAGUUCUGCCAUUAAGGCAUUCAGUGUAUUAGGACCACUAUUCCCUGGCUUCCCCACCCUUCAACAAUCAAGACCAGAAACCAAGGAAUUGAGAAGAAUCAGUUGAACAUGGCAUUCUUUAGUAUCAAGCUAUGGAAGAAGAUGGAAAACUAUAGCAUUGUAAUAAGACUUGGCAUCUAUAUAAUUAUAAUGAAUUCUAUUAAGGGAUUAAAUACAUUCAUUUAGCAAGAUAAACUUUGAAAGUAACCGCAGUUUUUAUAAUGUUAUUUGGGAAUUUCUUCAUUUGAGAAAAUAUAAGUGGCCUCACCCUCUCUCAGUUUCUGAGAGGCCCUGGUUAGACAUUCACUGUAGUGGGUAAUUUAGGCAUAGCAAUACGAAAUUAAACAAUUUUAUGAGAGUACCAUUCACAGUGUAUAAUUGUUGGGGGAGGGGUGGGCAGUGUAUACUUUCUUUGGUAAUACAGUUCCCCCAAGACUUAAUAAGCUAUCUGUUAUUUCCUAGACACAGUUCUCAAAGUGCUUUAUUUCUUUGCCUUAUUUAUUUUCUUCUUAGACCUCGUACUUUCCCCGCCCCUUUCUCUUAACUUAAUGGUGGUUACUUGAGGUCAAAAAAAUGAAUUGGCUUGGGUAGAAAGCUAACACUAUCUCUCAAGAGAGAUUAGAUUAUGCUGUGCUAAUGGAAAAAUCCCAAAACCUUAAUGGCUUAAAAUAACAAAAUUUAUAUCUUUCUUGUGAUACAUAUCCAUUGGAGGUCAACAAACAAGCUCUACUCAUUGUAAUAACUCAGGGACACAGACUAAGAGGGCUACCUUUUAAUACAUGCUUCUACUAUUGGAGAGACAAGGGAAAGAGAGCAUGGUAAAUGCUGGCCCUUAAAACUUCUACCAGACUGGGAAGAUGAUGGUUAGGUUGUUGGCUGCGUUGUUUUUGAAUCUUUCAAAAUCUUCACAUGAAAACACAGAGUAAGCUGGGUGUGAUGGCUUAUGCCUGUAAUCCCAGCACAUCAGGAGGCUGAGGCAGGAGCAUCACUUGAGCCCAGGAGUUCAAGACUAGCCUGGACAACAUAGUGAGACCCCCGUUUGUUAAAAAUAAAUAAAAAUAAGGCUGGGCAUGGUGGCUCACGCCUGUAAUCUGAGCACUUUGGGAGGCCAAGGCGGGUGGAUCACGAUGUCAAGAGAUCGAGACCAUUCCGGCCAACAUGGUGAAACCCCGUCUCUACUAAAAAUACAAAAAUUAGCUGGGCAUGGUGGCACAUACCUGUAGUCCCAGCUACUCAGUAGGCUGAGGUGGGAGAAUCACUUGAACCCAGGAGGUGGAGGUUGCAGUGAGCCAAAAUCAUGCCACUGCACUCCAGCCUGGCAACAGAGCAAGACUUGAAUGUCUCAAAAAAUAACAAUAAUUAAUUAAUUAAAAUAAAUAAAUAAAUAAAUAAAAAUAAAAAA